AUGCCAGGUCUCACAGCACCCUCUGAUUACUCCCAGGAGCCUCCGCGUCACCCUUCUCUUCUUAUCAACGCCAAGACGCCAUUCAAUGCCGAGCCACCGCGUUCUGCCUUGGUUGCCUCCUACGUCACCCCUUCCGAUUUCUUUUACAAGAGGAAUCACGGUCCGAUACCCGUCGUUGAGGACAUAAACAGAUACUCCGUGUUCGUGUCCGGUUUGCUGGAGCGUCCCAAACAGCUCAUGAUGAAAGAUAUCUGGAUGCUCCCAAAGUAUAAUGUCACCGCUACAUUACAGUGUGCAGGUAAUAGAAGGACUGCUAUGAGCAAGACCAAAACAGUGAGGGGAGUUGGCUGGGAUGUUUCUGCUAUUGGAAAUGCUAUAUGGGGUGGUGCCAAAUUGUCUGAUGUUCUAGAACUCGUUGGGAUUCCAAAGUUGACUAGUGUAACUCAAUUUGGUGGAAGACAUGUCGAGUUUGUAAGCGUUGAUAAGUGCAAGGAGGAAAAUGGAGGCCCAUACAAGGCUUCAAUACCACUUAGUCAGGCCACAAAUCCCGAAGCAGAUGUUCUGCUAGCUUAUGAAAUGAAUGGUGAACCUCUGAACAGAGAUCAUGGGUAUCCAUUACGUGUGGUUGUACCUGGUGUCAUUGGAGCCCGGUCUGUUAAAUGGCUGGAAGAGAUCAAUAUCAUUGCAGAAGAAUGCCAGGGUUUUUUCAUGCAAAAGGACUACAAAAUGUUUCCACCAUCAGUUAAUUGGGAUAAUAUUGAUUGGUCCACCCGCAGACCCCAAAUGGAUUUCCCAGUUCAGUGUGUUAUAUGUUCUCUAGAAGAUGUGAGCACAAUAAAGCCUGGGAAGGUAAAAAUUAGUGGUUAUGCGGCCUCAGGAGGUGGCAGAGGCAUUGAGAGAGUAGAUGUGUCUAUUGAUGGAGGCAAAACAUGGAUGGAAGCUUCAAGAUAUCAGAAAAGUGGUGUUCCCUAUAUAUCGGACCAUGCCAGCAGUGACAAAUGGGCAUGGGUAUUCUUUGAAGUCACAGUUGAUAUUUGUCAUAGCACUGAGAUUAUUGCAAAAGCGGUAGAUUCUUCUGCUAAUGUCCAGCCUGAAAAGGUUGAAGACAUCUGGAACCUGAGAGGGAUUUUAAACACUUCAUGGCACCGGGUAAAAGUCCAAGCGAGUCACUCAAACAUGUAAAAGUAGCACCAAUAUUUGACGUUUGGCACUUACAAAUAUCUCCUCUUUUUGCACUCAAAACACUGAACAAGGCACCAAGUUUCGCAGAGUUUUUCAUGGAAUAUCUGCUGCUCCUCUUCAAGGAAAUAAUUUGAGAUCAUCAUUAUGCAUUUACUUUUCACUCAUUUUAUCAUUUUCCCCGCACCUUAAAUUGUGUCACAUCUACGCAUUUGAUUUAGUAACGUAUAUUACAUUAUUCAUCCACCACCACCACCGAAUAAGCAAAUCAUGAUCCUCUACCACGUUGUUGAUAAAGAAAAAAGAUCCUCUAUCAUAUGUCACAACUAGCACAUGAAUAAAUUUGUUAGACUGUUAUGGAAAACAGACAUGCUUGUUUUCUCACGAUUCUUUUUAUAUAUUAAAGAAACACUUUGUAUUCAAAACUUGAAU